CCUACGGGUGGCUGCAGUGGGGAAUAUUGCACAAUGGGGGAAACCCUGAUGCAGCGACGCCGCGUGAGUGAAGAAGUAUUUCGGUACGUAAAGCUCUAUCAGCAGGGAAGAAAAAAAGUCCUUUGGACUUUGGACGAUACCUGACUAAGAAGCCCCGGCUAACUACGUUCCAGCAGCCGCCGUAAUACGUAGGGGGCAAGCGUUAUCCGGAUUUACUGGUGGUAAAGGGGGCGUAGACGGUUAUGGAAGUCUGGAGUGAAAGCCCGGGGCCCAACCCCGGGACUGCUUUGGAAACUGUGUAACUGGAGUACAGGAGGGGCAGGCGGAAUUCUUGGUGUAGCGGUGAAAUGCGUAGAUAUCAGGAGGAACACCGGCGGCGAAGGCGGCAUGCUGGACUGAAACUGAAGUUGAGGCUCGAAAGCGUGGGGAGCAAACAGGAUUAGAUACCCGAGUAGUC
rnacentral:rRNA from 1 species